rnacentral:rRNA from 1 species
UUUGGGGGGACAUGCGGGAAGGGAUCAUUGUCGAGAACCCGAGCGGACGAGCUGGGAACUUGUAAA